rnacentral:misc_RNA from 1 species
AAAAUUGAACUCAUUGCAAUAUCUAAAUCUGUCACGGACGUGUAUAAAGCAACUGCCAGUGGGAAUAUCGAAAUUGAAUUCACUGCAAUAUCUUAAUCUGUCACGGACAUGCAUAAAGCAACUGCCAGUUGAGUUGAAGAUGUUGGUGAAUCUGAAACAUUUGAACUUGGAGUAUAAUAUCCAACUAAAUGUGAUUCCAAGGGGAGUCAUAUCUA